rnacentral:rRNA from 1 species
ACGGAAGGCGGCAGUGGGGAAUAUUGGGCAAUGGGCGAAAGCCUGACCCAGCAACGCCGCGUGAAGGAAGAAGGCCUUCGGGUUGUAAACUUCUUUUAUCAGGGACGAAGGAAGUGACGGUACCUGAUGAAUAAGCCACGGCUAACUACGUGCCAGCAGCCGCGGUAAUACGUAGGUGGCAAGCGUUAUCCGGAUUUACUGGGUGUAAAGGGCGCGUAGGCGGGGAUGCAAGUCAGAUGUGAAAUCCAUGGGCUUAACCCAUGAACUGCAUUUGAAACUGUAUCUCUUGAGUGUCGGAGAGGUAGACGGAAUUCCUAGUGUAGCGGUGAAAUGCGUAGAUAUCAGGAGGAACACCGGUGGCGAAGGCGGCUUACUGGACAGUAACUGACGUUCAUGCUCGAAAGCGUGGGGAGCAAACAGGAUUAGAUACCCUGGUA